rnacentral:lncRNA from 1 species
AAAAAGUCCCAGAUUUCACCUAAGAGCAGAGGCUAUCACUCCCAGCUGUAAGUUCUGUGGAGUAAAAGCAUAGGCUGGCAUCUGCAGCAAUUUACAAAUACAGUUCUCCUACCCAUGCCCUUCCCAGAUCUUAGUGUAAUUUAUGCUAGGUUUGGAGCUCUCUGGUGACUCUUUUGGGAAACGAUGCACUUUGGUUUGUCUUAGAUUCGUGUCUUCUCUACUGUUUUUUAAUACUACCUGCCUUGUCAUAAUGUUUUUCAUUUAAAAUAUUAAUGGUGUUAUAGGAAUGUGUCUAUUGAGACAUUGGAAAAAUUUAACUUCAGAGUAUUUCUAUAGAGAAAGAAUGAAAUUAACCCAACCUUAGAU